rnacentral:rRNA from 1 species
UGUAGUCUGCAACUCGACUACAUGAAGCUGGAAUCGCUAGUAAUCGCGAAUCAGAAUGUCGCGGUGAAUACGUUCCCGGGUCUUGUACACACCGCCCGUCACACCAUGGGAGUCGGAUAUGCCCGAAGUCGGUGACCCAACCAUAUGGAGGGAGCUGCCGAAGGUGGAGCCGAUAACUGGGGGUGAAGUCGUAACAAGGUAUC